UACGUAGGGGGCGAGCGUUGUCCGGAUUUAUUGGGCGUAAAGCGCUCGCAGGUGGUCCGAUGCGUCGUGCGUGAAAGACCCCGGCUCAACUGGGGGGCGUCGUGCGAUACGGUCGGACUGGAGGCCAGUAGGGGGAUGCGGAAUUCCGGGUGUAGUGGUGGAAUGCGUAGAGAUCCGGAGGAACACCGGCGGCGAAGGCGGCAUCCUGGACUGGUCCUGACACUCAGGAGCGAAAGCGUGGGGAGCGAUCCGG
rnacentral:rRNA from 1 species